rnacentral:lncRNA from 1 species
AUAAAAAAAAAAAAACCGUGAGAAAAUAUGUUAAAUUCAUAUGCAAUUUGAUCGUGGGUCAAUCUUGAAAUCAUCGUAGACAAAAUUUAAAAUUAAAUUAUGUAGAAGUUAUUUUAACAUGAUUAGAUCGAUUUGACAGAUUCAAAAACAAUCUCAACAAUUGACAAUUGAUAAAAGUCUUAGUUUAGCUUUAAAAAAAAAAUUCAAAAUGACUUUUUUAAAAAAAUAUUAAGAGGGCAACAUAUUGGAUUGAUCUAGACUUCAUGGCUUAACCCAUCAAGUUCGUGAUUCGGGUCAUUAACACCACUAGGUUUAGGAACCUUAUUUUUUAAAACUAUUUAUUACUUAAUUAUACAAUAACAAAAAUAGACACUUGUAAAAUCGAGGACAAAUCAACUAUCGAGACUUUUGCUUGAGACUGAGAUAACUUCAUAAAAAACAAAUCAAAAUAAUUUAUGAAAAUGAAUUCUUAAUCAAAUAAAUAUUAAAAAAUAAAAAUAAAAAAUAAUAAUAAAAAAAGGGUGACAUCACACUACGCUGAAGGUGGUGCAUUGCAACCUAAGUUUUCUAGGAUAGAGUACAAGUUUAGAGGUUGCACUAUGUUUUAGGUCAAAUAAAAAAAAUAAAUGUAAAAAUAAUAUCUAAGUUAUGGAGAAUUGUUGGCAUUAUUAUUAAAUCUAAUCUGCAAAUUAAUUUUAAAAUCUUUUGAUUUAAUUCAUUAUUUAAUCCAGAUUUUAAAUUAAACUGUAUGAGAAUUACCCCAACAUAUCUUAUUUGACUUUAUGGAUCCAAAUCCAACCCCGACACCUAAUAAAAGGUGUGAUUUAGAAUUUAAAAAAUAAUUCAAGAUGAUAUUUUUUUUAAUAUUAAUGCACCACUAUAUUUGAUUGAUCAGGGCUACGAGAAAAACCAAAACAAAUUAUAAAAACAAAUUCAAAAUCAAGAAAAUGUUUAAAUAUGAAAUUGAAAAAAAAGAAGAAGAAGGAAAACAAAAGAGGGGGAAAUGGAAAGGAAAGAAAAGGAAAGGGGGGAAAUGGUGUAAAAAAAAGGGGCUCGCUUUACAAUUCAUAUCAACAAUAAAAGGACUCGCUUUACAAUUCAUAUGAGGAAAAAAGAACUAAAAAUGAAGAUACUUCAUUGUUUAUAUAUAUAUAAAAGAAACACCGUAAUGUUUUUUAAAACAUUUUAGCAUUGCUGGAUAUAAUAAUUGUUGUGGUCGGCAAGCGUACCUGCAUUCUUAAUUCGCACGCAGAAAGUCGGUGCAUAGCAUUGAGACCACGUCUAGAUUCGACGAUUUUUAUACUCUAUUAUUAUAGUUUUGAUUAAACAAACAUAAACGGCGAAUCACAUGACAAUGUUUGUGUACUCGCAAGACAUCUUAAUCCUUCGCCUACCGCAGUUUCAUGUAAUUGUCCAUAAUUUCCGGUAAAUAUCAAUCUAGAAAAUUCAUCUUCUCGUCUCUACAAUCCAGGCUGAAAUUCAUGAAUGCGCGCGCACUCAACGAAAUACAUAUAUACACUCCACGUCAAUUAAUAUUUAGAGCAAUUUUAUUCUCAAAACGGACACGAAACGGACACGAAACAUUCACUUUAGUUUUCCUACUUUCUAAUUGGUGCAUUUUUUAUUCUUUUUAACUUUUAAAAACUUUAUUUUUCCUGUUUUUUUCUUGGUCAAAAAAAGAAGAAAAUGUUGUUAGAAUCUAAUUGAGUAGCUGAGAAGGUAAAAUUAUUUUUGACUAGAUAUCAAUCAUAAAAAAGAAUUAAUCUUGAUAUUAAUGAGUUUCAUUUGAUGAGAAAAGCUCCACUUGACGAGAAGAGUUCUACUAGAAUGUUCUUUUCAUUUCUAUUACCUAAGAUGAUAGAUCUAAGUUCAAGAAGUUGUUUGGAUUUGAGUUGAUUUUGGAUUUUUAGAUUGAUUUUAGCGUUAUUUAAGAUCAUAGAUGGAUUUAUCUAGGUCUUUAAGAUAUGUUUUAGGUGUUCAAACUGAUAUGUAUUGUUUUUUUAUAUUAAUUUAUUACUAUCUUGAAACAAAAAAAAUGAAUAAAAAUUUAAUUCUAAAAUUGUUUGAAAAACAAAUUUAUUUUUAUAUUUUUAUUUUUUCAACCAAACACUUUAUAUAUAAAUUAGACAUGUACGCACCUUCUUUUCCACAUAAGGCAGUACUUUACAGCCAAG